GAUGAACGCUGGCGGCGUGCCUAAUACAUGCAAGUCGAGCGAACAGACGAGGAGCUUGCUCCUCUGACGUUAGCGGCGGACGGGUGAGUAACACGUGGAUAACCUACCUAUAAGACUGGGAUAACUUCGGGAAACCGGAGCUAAUACCGGAUAAUAUAUUGAACCGCAUGGUUCAAUAGUGAAAUACGGUUUUGCUGUCACUUAUAGAUGGAUCCGCGCCGCAUUAGCUAGUUGGUAAGGUAACGGCUUACCAAGGCGACGAUGCGUAGCCGACCUGAGAGGGUGAUCAGCCACACUGGAACUGAGACACGGUCCAGACUCCUACGGGAGGCAGCAGUAGGGAAUCUUCCGCAAUGGGCGAAAGCCUGACGGAGCAACGCCGCGUGAGUGAUGAAGGUCUUCGGAUCGUAAAACUCUGUUAUUAGGGAAGAACAAAUGUGUAAGAAACUAUGCACGUCUUGACGGUACCUAAUCAGAAAGCAACGGCUAACUACGUG
rnacentral:rRNA from 1 species